AUUGAACGCUGGCGGCAUGCUUUACACAUGCAAGUCGAACGGCAGCACGGGCUUCGGCCUGGUGGCGAGUGGUGAACGGGUGAGUAAUACAUCGGAACGUACCCAGUAGUGGGGGAUAGCCCGGCGAAAGCCGGAUUAAUACCGCAUAUGCCCUGAGGGGGAAAGCGGGGGACCGAAAGGCCUCGCGCUAUUGGAGCGGCCGAUGGCUGAUUAGCUAGUUGGUGGGGUAAAGGCCUACCAAGGCGACGAUCAGUAGUUGGUCUGAGAAGACGACCGGCAACAGUGGGAAUGAGACACGGCCCAGACGUCUGCGGGAGGCAGCAGUGGGGAAUUUUGGACAAUGGGCGAAAGCCUGAUCCAGCAAUGCCGCGUAUGCGAAGAAGGCCUUCGGGUUGUAAAGCACUUUUUUGUGGAAAGAAAAGGUUUGGGUUAAUGCCCUGGACUGAUGACGGUACCAAUCGAAUAAGCACCGGCUAACUACGUGCCAGCCGCCGCCGUAA
rnacentral:rRNA from 1 species